UGGGGAAUAUUGGACAAUGGGCGCAAGCCUGAUCCAGCCAUGCCGCGUGAGUGAUGAAGGCCCUAGGGUUGUAAAGCUCUUUCACCGGUGAAGAUAAUGACGGUAACCGGAGAAGAAGCCCCGGCUAACUUCGUGCCAGCAGCCGCGGUAAUACGAAGGGGGCUAGCGUUGUUCGGAUUUACUGGGCGUAAAGCGCACGUAGGCGGACUAUUAAGUCAGGGGUGAAAUCCCGGGGCUCAACCCCGGAACUGCCUUUGAUACUGGUAGUCUUGAGUUCGAGAGAGGUGAGUGGAAUUCCGAGUGUAGAGGUGAAAUUCGUAGAUAUUCGGGGGAACACCAGUGGCGAAGGCGGCUCACUGGCUCGAUACUGACGCUGAGGUGCGAAAGCGUGGGGAGCAAACAGG
rnacentral:rRNA from 2 species